AAGGUGGCGCCACUGUCAACAUGUGGAUGUGAAAACGAAAGUAGAUUAUUUAUCGUGGAAUAAUUACAAUUGUUUACCCUUCUACGUGGAAUUUAUAUGGUAAUGGUAUGAAUUGAGAUGAUUUAUUUAGUUACCUUCAACUGGUCAGUGGUCAACAAGAUAGUAUUAUUGUGUGUCUUGAAACAUUGAAUGCAGUAUGAUAAGAAGGCCAGAGUAUACAGCUUCCCAAAAUGUUGAAAGACUAAGCUGUUUUCUAAGGACUUGUAUACUAUUUAGAUUGAAAUUAGCCAUGGACAAUGAAUUUGGAGGUGCAUGCAGGAGCAUCAGAAAUUACAGACUUGGAAUAAAUAUUUGCAUAAUAUACAAGUACAUGUAACAUUUACUGAAAAAUGACUAAUGUUUAUGUUAAUAAAGUGCAAUAUCCAUUUUUGAAACAUUUACAUGGGGGUAAUAGUUACAGUGAUGAAAGAGACUACCAGUGUAACAUUUCAAUCUAUUUAGUUACAGUGUGAAUGCUAGUCAAGUGUUUUUAAUAACUUAUAGAUACUAAUUAUUUAUCAAAAUGUUUAAUUUA
rnacentral:lncRNA from 1 species